rnacentral:rRNA from 1 species
CCAGCGGUCACUGCUAUUGGAAUCUGAUUAAGACAUGCGAGUCGAGAGAUUUCGGAUCUCGGCAGACGGCUCAGUAACACGUGGAUAAUCUACCCUUGGAUGAGAGAUAACCUCGGGAAACUGAGGAUAAUAUCUCAUAGGUCUUGGUUGCUGGAAUGCUUCAAGGCUGAAAGCGUUAGCGUCCAAGGAUGAGUCUGCGGCCUAUCAGGUAGUAGUGGGUGUAAGGGACCCACUAGCCGAUGACGGGUACGGGCCCUGAGAGGGGGAGCCCGGAGAUGGGAUCUGAGACACGAUCCCAGACCCUACGGGGUGCAGCAGUUGCGAAACCUUCACACUGUGGGAAACCACGAUGAGGAGAUUCCAAGUGCCAACACCCAGUGUUGGCUUUUCAGAUGUCUAAAACGCAUCUAGAAUAAGGGCCGGGUAAGACGGGUGCCAGCCGCCGCGGUAACACCCGCGGCUCAAGUGGUGACCAUUAUUAUUGAGCUUAAAGCGUUCGUAGCCGGUCUGGUAAAUCUCUGGGUAAAUCGAACGGCUUAACCGUUCGAAUACCAGGGAGACUGCUAGACUUGGGACCGGGAGAGGCCAGAGGUACUCCUGGGGUAGAAGUAAAAU